rnacentral:misc_RNA from 1 species
GAAAUGCGAUAAGUAAUGUGAAUUGCAGAAUUCAGUGAAUCAUCGAAUCUUUGAACGCACCUUGCGCUCCUUGGUAUUCCUUGGAGCAUGCCUGUUUGAGUAUCAUGAAAUCUUCAAAGUAAAUCUUUUGUUAACUCAAUUGGUUUCUACUUUGGUAUUGGAGGUCUUUGCAGCUUCACACCUGCUACUCUUUGUUCAUUAGCUGGAUCUCAGUGUUAUGCUUGGUUCCACUCGGCGUGAUAAGUUAUUUAUCGCUGAGGACACUGUAAAAGGUGGCCAAGGUAAAUGCAGAUGAACCGCUUCUAAUAGUCCAUUGACUUGGACAAUACUUUUAUGAUCUGAUCUCAAAUCAGGUAGGACUACCCGCUGAACUUAAGC